UCAGUUUGCCACCAGAGCUCGUCUGGAGUACAACUAGUUUCGGGAAAAAAAACCAAAAAUGUAUAAAAAUUCAAAGUGUUUCUUUUACUAGAAAUAAAUCACCAUUUCAUUUUGUCUGAUGAAUUGAAAAAUGAAAUGGUUCAAAAUCCAAAGUAAAGAGAAGGAAUUUCCAUAGCUAACGUGGUUUGGAUAAAACAGGCUCUGCAUACCCUCACUCCCUCGCACGCACGCCACACUCAUACACUCUCAUACACACGUACGCACACCACGCACACAUACUUGGCCAUUGCUUUCCUUGACGGCGGUAAAGCAAUGGCAUUGCACUUCGUUUUCGGUGAAUGACGGCACACAAAACACAUUUGAUGAAGCACUGAAGGAUGUCUGGAUUCCAUGUUAUUGCAUCUAGCUGACGGCCCUUUUCCACUUUAACCGCCUACGGGUUCAACAUAAUGAAGAUCACACACCUACGAUAGGAGUCGCCUUAAUAGAGUUAAAUAUCCUAUCACCAGCCGUACUUAUGGCAUUCUUCCCGACCGAUGGUACCGGUUCCGCUGAACGUGAAGAUUGCAUCGGUUGACCAACGGGCUCUAAACUAUAUGUUGAAGAAUCAAACCAAUUGUUAUGUUAUAUAUAUAUAUGUACCCAUCUGUUGAAGAAUUAAACCAAAAAUAUAAAAAAAAUAUCACUUA